ensembl:lncRNA
UCUCUCUCUCUCUCUCUCUCUCUCUCUCUCUCUCUCUAUCUCUCUCUCUAUUUUUAUGUCUCUCUCACACACACACACACACACACAAAUGCACUGACGAGUGGUUCAGCCCUGAGGCAGCCCAGGCAGUCAGCGAGGGAAAUUUAGAUGGGAGGGAAACAGCAAGCACAAAAGGGUCAUGAUGUAACCACAGGAACAGCAGCACAACAACAAAUGACCAAGAGAUACCGAGACGUCAGACAGAUAUGGUGAUAUCUUCCACUGUGUGCACAGAAUGAGGCUUUGACACAUGCAUCACCAGGAGGAAUGACACGAAAGAUAAGUAAUCUCCUGCUGGACCCUGUUCCUGACCAAGUGACGGCACAGAGGGUGGAAAGCUGCAGACAUGUCCCACUUUCACCUCGGUGUCAGAGCACUCAGUCUGUCCUCCUAAGUGACUACAGAACAGUGGCAGUGAGAGUCAGUGGGGAAACAGUGGUUGUGUUCUGUACUAGAGACUAGGAGGGGUGUGGUGCGGCGUGGUGCGGUGCCGCGUGGCGGAACAACGACGAAGAGCCAGCAGGGUCACAUUCCACAGGGAGCUGGUUGGCAGACGGAGGGGCCCGCUUGGAUCAACUCUACAACACUGUUCCUCUCGGCUGUUCCUCUACAGGCACGCACACACACACACACACACAGAUAUGUGUACACACAGACAUGGUAUAUCUCACUACACAGUGUGAUUGUGACAUGUCCAGCAUUCACUGUA